GGAGCUGAUUGGCUGACACUGCCAUUCCAAAAUUGCUGCAGUGGCUACAACUAGCUAGCAUUAGGACGUAAAGUAGUAUUUCAAUCUCCUCGGUGUAUCAUUGUGGAUCAAGUUACAAUAUGGAGAACAGUGGCAUAACCCAUCCCUGCAUUAAGCAGAUUACGUUUCAACGUUGAGGAAGGUGGUCUUGAUCGCGCUGUUGGGCCGGGACCCAGAGAUGGUUGAAGUCCCGAAAGCAGGCAGGCGGAGUUCCACCGUCUCAUUCAAGAGCUUCGACUGCUUGGAGAGCAAUUCCGACGUUACUUUCGUCUGGACCGAAGCCAGUUCGAUCACCUGCUCCAGAUCGUUGGAGCCAGGAUCGCCCGGAUGGAAACCAACUACCGGGAGUCCAUUAGCCCAGUUGAACGCCUGAUGAUUUAUCUCAAUGUCUUAAAACAGACUGUCUGAGCAGAAUUCGGCACCGACCUUGGCUGGGGUCCACAGAGUACUUCCCAGGAUCUCCCUAUCUUGAGGGAGGACGGGGAAUGAUUCCCACGGCCACCCCUAAUCUUUGUCAGCUGGGUAGUGGGACAGUAUGUGCGUGGGAUACCUACUGUUGUGUGUGUGUGUGUGUAUGUAUGUGCGUAGGAUAUCUACUGUUUGUGUAGAAGUAUGUGCGCAGCUAUAAAAAUGGAUGUCUUUGUAUUCUUGGCUUUAGAACGUUCUCUGAAUAAACUGUACUAACCUUUUGCAUAAGCUGAGUCUUUGACUAAUUAUUAUUAUACCCAUGGUCUUACAAACCUCUGGGAUUGGUCAGAGCUAUUGAUUGUUAGUUAUUAUCAUUGGGAUUGAAAAUUCUCGUGACAGUCUCUGUACUCACCAGCCCCACUGUGA